rnacentral:rRNA from 1 species
AGGACGAACGCUGGCGGCGUGGAUUAGGCAUGCAAGUCGAGCGACAAGCCUUCGGGCUAUGGAGCGGCGAACGGGUGAGUAACACGUGAGAAAUCUACCUUUACGUUCCGGAUAAUUGGAAGAAAUUCCUUGUAAUACGGGGGAGGUUCCUACUUUGGCAUCAGAGAAGGAACAAACAAGCAAUUGGCGCAAAGAUGAUCUCGCGGCUUAUCAGGUAGUUGGUGGGGUAACGGCCUACCAAGCCUACGACGAGUAGCUGGU